rnacentral:rRNA from 1 species
AGAGUUUGAUCAUGGCUCAGGAUGAACGCUGGCGGCGUGCUUAACACAUGCAAGUCGAGCGAAGCACUUAGGAGGAAGUUUUCGGACGGAAUCUUAUUUGACUGAGCGGCGGACGGGUGAGUAACGCGUGGGGAACCUGUCCUAUACAGGGGGAUAACAGUUAGAAAUGACUGCUAAUACCGCAUAAGUGCUCAGGACGGCAUCGUCCGG